CCAGAGAGAAGCUCCCGUCUGAACGCCAGGAGGAGGGUCCUGAAUCAGCUGGCACCUGGAUCUCAGACUUCCAGCCUCCAGAACGAGAGCACCCGGUCUGCCUACAGCUGUGGAGGGGCCUCAUUGGUCCAACUGGACGGAAAUAACUCAGGACUCCCCCUGGUGGUCUCUAAAGACUCUGCAAUGCAAUCACCAUCUUACAGCUCUUCACUGACAUGCCUUGAGAAGACCAUUUAAAAUAAAAGCGAAACCAUCGGGCUGUCAAUUGGGAACACCCCACAGACCAG